ensembl:processed_transcript 4933439C10Rik RIKEN cDNA 4933439C10 gene
AAGAAGGAAUGAGGAGCAGGAGGAGGAGGGUGUUUUAGGCCAGGAGAACUAUGGGGUUUCUGUCGCUUCCACUCUUUCAGAUUUGCUGGCUCUUUCCCUCGAAGCCCGGGACAGCAGGCGAGCAGAUCCUCACCUUCCAGCUCGGUCUCUCUGGUGUUUUGGCAGAGGCGGCUCCAAUGCAUGGGCCAGACUCGGUCCCUGGCCAGGCCAACCCUGUCUCGGGAUCCUCUAGAAUGCAUCAGCUGGGCUUGGGAGCGAAGGGAGACGCCUGGAAGAGAAUCGUAUUGCUUCAUCCCCGAGGGCACCUAUGAGGACGCGGCUCUGAGAGCAGGGAUCUGGGCCCGGACGCGGGAAGAGGAGAACAGGGAGCAGGACCCAGGCGCGGGCUGGGGAUCAGAGCGCGGGAAGUGGGGAGCAGGAUCCGGGUUCAGACAGCGGGGCAUGGGAAGCCGGGCCACAGUAUACUCACCGCUGCGCAGCGUCCCGGUUGGCGGGCCGCGUAGGCCGGGCCGCCGCGGAAAGGAAAGGCCGGAGCCCUCCGGCUCCCUCCCCUGGGACACUUCCUGCACCGCUCUAGGACCGAGGAGGUCUCCUCAUCUCAGUGGUUCGCUUCCCCGCCUCCUGGCCGAGGUGUACGCGGGGGGGUGACAUCCGACACCCCCGGCCCGCCUGGACCGCCCCGCCCCGCCCCGCUCCGUGCUCUCCCGGCCUGGGCGCGGGGCCCGGGCUUUAGCUUUGUGGGCCUUCCUAGCGGGCUCGGGAUGCGCGCGCGCCCCGGCGGGACCCGGACGCUGGGGGCCAGUUCGCGCGGCCACCAGCCAGGGAGGCCGGCCUGGGGCUUCGCUCUUCCCUGCUCCUCUUGUGUGGGUGCAGGGAAGGGCUGGUCUGGCGGCGCUGGCGAAAUGCCAGAAUUGGGAGGAGGAGGGAUGAGGUGUAAGGGGAUCUCCCAGUGACCAUUCGCAUCCCGUGUGUGCUGUUGUGCCCCAAUCCCUUCCAGCCACAAUUCCAUUUCAAAGCCAACGCUGCCAAAGCCACCCAAAUCGGUACGACUGGAGAAAUGCAGACCCGGCGAUCCACGGUGCUCGCCGAAGCAUCGGCCCGCGCCUUCGUGGCGUGGAGAUGAUCUACGAUUUUUCUGUUUAAGGAAGACUGUAGCACUCUGGGUCCCUCUGAGCACCAGGACAGUCCUGGUUCAUGGUAGGAAGUCACCCUUAAAGAAGGUGGCUUGAUAGAGACACCCCACCACCGGCAGACUUCGUGCUUCCGUUUCCUUCUAAUAAUUGGGACUGGGACGAUCACUUCCGACUAGUAGAACCUGGAAUAGGGACUAAUAGACUGGAAUCAGAGCACCUGUGUUAAAUCACGCCCAUCAAGGCGCAGUCAGGUGAUCUAAGGCCUGCGUGACCGACCUCUCUGUGCUUCAGGGAUCACAUUUGGAUGCAUGUGCGAGCUGUGCUGUAGCCAGCUCAGGUCCUGAAUCUUUAGGACUUGCUGGAGCUCAUUGCUGGUCUAUUUUGGCAGCACGGCAUAAAACCAGGAGUGGUAAUGUACACCUGUAAUCUCCGCACUCGGGGACUGGGGGCUGGAGGAUCAGGAGUUGGAGGUCAUGGUCUCCUGUAUAGUGAGCGAGUUUGGGGUCAGCUUGAAUGACAAGAUACCCGGUCUGGAAAUAAAGAUGCAAAUUGAUGAGCUGUGGAGCAAUACCUGCAUGCAGUUGAGUAAUCACACAUAUACCCACCUCCCCACACCCUUCCUGGCCCCCUGGAAGCUCCAGCUGGCUUACAGACUGACUAUUGUUUUGAGAUAGGGUCUCACUGUGUAGCCCUGACUGGCCUGGAACCCACAGAUCUGCUUGCUUCUGCCUCCUGAGCUGAGUGAUUAAAAGCAUGUGCCACCACA